CUCUUGUACUUGAGUAAAAAUAGAAGUACUCAGAUCUUGUACUUGAGUAAAGGUAGAAUUACUCAGAUCUCGUACUUGGGUAAAGUAGAAGUACUCAGAUCUUGUACUUGAUAAAAGUAGAAGUACUCAGAUCUUGUACUUGAGUAAAGGUAGAAUUACUCAGAUCUCGUACUUGAUU